CUGAAAUACACUGACGAUACCUCAUUCUGCGUGCGUGGUGUGUAAGAGAGAGAGAGAGAGAGAGGAGGGCGGGAGCAGGAAGAAGCACUAGCAAACUGUUCCACUCAGUUUCAUUCAAAAGUCAUGGGGAGACACGUCCUCGAUGGUCAUCAAGGCACAGUUCGAAGCGUGACAAUGAGUUUCCAUGCCGCAGACAUAUCUGGAGACGACCCUGGACAGCUGUGGUAUAAAAAACCGGCUGUCGCCUGCUUUACGACCAGACAACCAGUCGUGAUGAUCUGGGGCGCCAUUUGUUUUCACAGCAGAACCCUUUUGAUUGUCAUCCGCAGAACGACGAACGUUUCUGCUGCUCGUCUUCGUGCUUGGCAAACGCUACGUUGGCCAAUAAGGUCGCCGGAAUUAUGGGAAGCCCUCCAAUCAGCUCAGGAUUUUGACUAUCCAUCGCAUCGGCAGGACAUCCAAGAACUCUGUCAGGCACUGUCAAACCGAAUAACUGCUUGCACAAGGGCCAGAGGUGGACCAGCGCGUUAUUGACUCGCUCAGUUUGUGAAGCUCUUUCUCGAAUAAAUAAUCCAAUUUUUCUGGAACUGUAA